UGCAGUUAAUAUCACCAAAGAUAUCGAAAGUCACCUUCUCAAUGCAUAACGCCAAGACCAUAUGUACCGUUUGCUAGUAUUUCUCUCUUAAAUAAAGUUUGGAACUUGGAUGUGCAUCUAUGUACUAUCUCGACCUUUUAAUAAACGCAAAUUCCAGCUGUACUGGAGUUGGUGACUAAUGCCGAGAAGACAAACUAGGUUCCCGAUCCUCAGUUAUUUAUGCAAUAAUAUUAAUUAGUGCAUGCGUGUGAUUAGUUGUAUGGUUCUGGGAGUUGCUUUGUGAUUGUUAAUCGGUGUCUUUUGUAGUGGGAUUAUUACAUGCAUGUAAUGUGAAGAACAUAUGAUCCAUGAGGAAAUAAAUUAAAUGAAAAUUACCCAGGCUCCAUCAUGAGGAGCCUUUGAGCAUGCCCACAAGCCUACGUUCCUGCAUUCAAGUCACAUAUGUGAAAAUUCCACUUUGCACAUAAUCUAAAUAAUUUAUCUAAAAAUCUAAGAAGUAAUCUCUCUCUCCAUCUAUGUCUCUCUCUCCCCAUCUAUAUGUACCUCAAAUGAAGAGGUAAGGUAAUGUAAAAUCCCCACCUCAAAUUUAGGGAUAUUUAUAUAAUUUGAAAAUUUUAAAAAGACCUACAUUAAUUUUGUAAAUAUUUAUGUAAUCAACUUUCUCAGAUUAAUUAAAUAAAAAAUUGACCAAGAUGAUUAAAAAUGCAAAUUUGAUGAGGACAUGAAGUAAAAAGUGGUAGGGUUUAAGGACAAUGGCUUCUACUGAAUUUUGGUGAGGUGGUGAUACAAUGAGGAAAAUAGAUUAAUAAAGUUUAUCCAUGGAAAUAGAAAAUAGAAAACAAAAAAUAUAAAAUAAUAAUAAUAUUCAUGUUAAUCAUUUAAUAAAUAUAAUAAAUGCAAUUAUAUAUGCUAAGUGAAAAUAACAAUAUUAUUAUUAUUAUUAUUAAUGCUUAUGAUAGGUGAGAAUUAAGUCUUUUAGAAAUUUGAGUAAUUUUUUCAAGGUAAAGCUUAUAGUUCAUUAAGUCAUUUUAUAAUUCCUUAUAUAUUUUUUUAUUGAUUUUUAAAGUAUCAAAAUGUGUAAAUUCUUUAAAGUGGAUCAAAUAGUUUUUUUUUUUUUUGAAAUAUUUUGUGAUUUGUUUGGUUGUUAUGAAAGUGAAUUUUAUUACUUAAUUUAUUAUAAUGAUUUUAAAACUCUAGUUAUUAGUGGUUUUAGUCAACAAGGAUAAGUUAUUAACCUUCUUUACCUUUGGUCAGUGAAGGGAUGUAGUAUAACACUAGCCAAUAAAUGUGUCAUUGGUCUUGUAUACUAUUGAUUAGAAAUUGUUAUGUCCACCAAUGAGAGUAUUAAAGUGAGGUGAGCCACCUAAUGUAAGUCCCAAUAUUUGGGCACAACGUUAUUAUUAAUUAAUAAACAAAAAUAAAUAGUUUAUUUAUAAAAAUUUUUUUCUAAAUAUAAAUUGAGUAUGCAAAUUGUAUUUUUUAAUUCUAUCUUUAAAUUUAAAGUGUUUAAUCUUUUGAAGAAAGUGAAUUUAAUUUUUUGAAGAAAGUGAAUUUAAUUUUUGAAUUAAAUAAAUUAACCUGAUAAUUGAUUUUUAUAAAAAUUUGAUAUCUCUUAGAAUUUAAUUCUCUACAAUAUAUACCUGAUUUUUUUCAUUGAACUAUUUUUUCUUAUUGAACCAUUGAAGUCACCCUUCUUUAUUAUUCCCCUUUUCAUAUACAAAUGGUAUAAGUGAGAAGGGAUUACGGGAGGAGAAAUGUUUCUAUUAUAAACAACUUUGGAAUUGAAUUAUGUUGGAUUGUGAAACGUGAAUCGGUUUAAUUUAUUGUAUUUUGCAAGGAAUGCUAGAGGUCGAGUGUCUAAUUGAGCUUGCGGGGAUCAAGAGUCUUGAUCGGUUCGUUGGGACUUGGGAUUGAGUUGUCCAAUCAGCUCAUGGGGUUAAAGGAAUAUCCUUCGAUUUUUUUUAAUACGAUGAAUAACGAGUUUGUCCUAAUUGUAUAUUUAAUCUUAUUAUAAUUUAAAGUUUCUUUUUAGAGAGUGUGUGACUGCAAUCGAAAGGAUAAUGAGUGUUUAGUACUCGUCUUAUUUUUUUCUGAACCAAAUUAAAAAUCUAUUGUUUUUCUUUAUUUUCUAAUCGUGUGUGCAUGAUUUGAUCAACAAAUUAUUUAUAGGAUUGUUUACUUAAAUUUGAUUGUAAUUUAUUUAAGUUUUUAGGAGAAUCAUUAAAUUUAUUAUUACAAUAUUUUAUUAGUUUUGAAUUUGUUAUUUAAAGUGAUUCAUUUACUUGGUUCAAAGGUUUGACAUAUAAAGUCACCGUGGUUCCCUUGGUGUCGCGGGUGAUUUUGUAAGUGCCUUCGGACUACAGAAUAUUAAUUAACCUACCAAUCUUCAAUGUAAUCUAAGAUGCAGAAAGAUCUUGUGGGUUAAGGUCAAGUGGGCGCUUCAAUAUUUAUCAUGUCUUCAAAAAAAACUUCAGGGCCCCAGUCCAGAUUCUCAGAUAUGGAUUCUAACAGUUGCUACCAAUCACGGGGGUGAAAACAAAUCAGUGUCGCAGAAAUCGCUAUCAAUGUGGUACUGGAAAAAAAAGAAGAGAUUCCUCCACUUGUUCUUGAAAUUUAUCUGAACGCAUGCAAUAAAUCAAUGCUCCAUAAUCUCCUGCACAUGCAAAUUAAAAUCAAAAUCAGGCCAUUGGCCUCUCACAUUACCAUUCUUGGCCGUUUUCUGGUGUGCAUAUAAAGAGUAAUAACCACACCAUCCAUCUUUUACUCUGGUUGUCACACUCCCACCACUCUCCCACCACUUCUUCCCUAAUCUCCUAACAUCAAAUACAAAAAUGCCACAUCCUUAUUAUUGAAAAUUAAAUUCCCAUACAUAUAAAUCUUAUGCCAGAUUUUUUGUUGAUUGGAUGAUAUUCGGCCAUAUAAAAUUCAGUAUCAAUCACAAACAUUCGUUAUCCAAUCUUGAUACCGAAGAGGAUAGAGUAUCAAUCCAUCUAUGGGCCCGGUGCACCAGGCCUUCCGCCUAUAAAAGUUUUCUAGGGUGGUGAACUAUAUUCUUCAAACACAGCCUUGGCUAGUUACUAUCUGGUUUCCAAAGAAAGAAGAAAUGGCUCAGAUAGAUAAGAUGGAAACCCAUGUAGAGAAAAAGUCCCCUGCCAAUGAGUUCUACGAGGUCUUCAGCAGCAAAGCUCAUCUCAUUCCCAAGGCCUGCCCUGACAAAAUCAAGAGCAUCGAAGUGGUUGAAGGUGAUUGGAAGAGUGUGGGCUCUGUCAAGCUCUGGACUUACUGUAUCGGUAAGGCAACGCUAACCAUUAUUCCCAUGCCACCCUCAAUCAAACAAAAUAAUACACUCAGCACAUGGACCUUCUUGUUUUUAAUUAUUAUUGCUGUGGAAGAUAAUAAUAACAAAACAAAGGGAAUGACCCCUUCUGAUACGGGUGCCUCCUCAUAUUAGUUUUUUGAAGUUCUCCAUGCAAACUAAAGUAGAAAUCAAUCUUUAGGCACAUCCCUUAUCUGAGCUUCACAUGACCUUAGUUUCAUUUUAAAUUAACCUGCAGGAGGAAAUACUUCGUCUAGCAAGGAGAGGGUGGAAAAGAAAGACGAUAAGAACAAGUCCAUCACUUUCAAGGCUCUGGAUGGAGAGGUCAUGAAGGAUUUCAAGAGCGUCAUCUCCAUCCUUGAAGUGAGUGCAAAGGAUGACGGCAGCCUGGUGAAAUGGACUUUGGAAUAUGAGAAGUCAAAUGAGAAACUCCUACCUCCAGAUGCUUACCUCAGCCUUGUAAUUAGUAUGAGUAAAGAAAUCGACGCUUACCUUCUCAAGGCAUAAGCCGCAUAACAAGCCCUAUAUCCUUGACUUGAUAUGAAAGCAUCCUAGCCUGGGUCCUCCUGGGAAUAACGGAGUUGCUAUGCGUACCUCCAUAUUAUAUUAUCGACACCUACUGGCUACUGCUGUACUCCAUGUAACUUCUUGCUGUACUUAAUUAUAUGAGCUUCCUGAAUUAAUGUUGGAAUGAUAAAUCAAGCUUUAUGGUAGAAUCAAAUGAUUGCUCUAUCAUGGAAUAAAUUUCGCAAUAAAAAUAAAUAUUAGAGGAGAGUUAUGAAACGAAGCUUUUUUUUCUGCAUCAAAUUAACUUUUCAUACACUGUUUUUAAAACAAAUCAACAUACAAUGAUCUUAUGUUGUACCUUUUCCGUUGCAGAUUGCUUUUAAAAAUGUUCUCCCCACAGGCACUUCUAUGGUAUCUUUUCAAAAUUGCUAUUAUAUAUGUUUAAUUAACCAUUCAUUUUGGUCUAAAGCUAGGACGAACUUCUAAGACUGCCACGGAGACUCUGGAAAUCAACAGAUGAAGAAAAAAAUAAAAUAUAUCCAUGACUUCCAAGGUUUUGGAAGCAGAGGUCAUGAAUCAUUUCAAGAAGAUUCAAGUCAUCCAUGCAAGUAACAGCAAAGGAUAAGCGCAGCUAGGUGAAAUGGAGACUGGAUAUUGAGGGUCACUAUCUCAGAUUCUCAAGGCAUAGCAUUAAAAACAUAUCCUUUAAUUGGUAGUAUAAUCUCAAACUUGUAUGUAAAGACCAGACCGUGGAAGUGCAUAUAUGCAUUUUAUUCUUCAAUAAGCGCAGGCUUAGGGGGUAGUUCAAUAACCUCUGGGCUUAGUCAAUCCCGAGAAGAUAUUAAUAAAUUUCCCUGGAUUAUUCCUCUCAUGAAUAUCAGUGCCUGUAAUUUGGUUGUGUGCUAACGGGAGUUGCCUCUUGCGAUCGGUUGGGUUCUUUAAUAAACGCAUUAUUAGGUAUGAAUGAUCAGGAAAUUGAUAAGUAAAAAACAAUUUAAUUAUUUCACUUAAGUCAUAAACCAUUAUGAGGAGCCUUGGAAUAUAUGCAUGAGUCUAGAUUCUCGCAGCCACUAAUCACGUAGUCAAAAUUGGCCAGUCGCAAACAUUCCAAUCAUUCUUUAUGAUAAGAAAGAAGAGUUCACUCUUCUUUUUCUCGAGUUUUUUAUUUGGAGAGAGCAAUUUAUCAGCCUCACAUUUUGAGACCUUUCUUGGCACAUCACUUUCAGAAUCUGAUUUCCUAGCUCCACUAUAGAAGUAAAGCCAGUUGGGUAUCACAUUCUUGUUUUAUGUCUCCUUGAGUGGGUCGGGUGUAUAUAAAAAUUUGCCAGUUGAAGAUUUUCUUUGUUAUGCUAGUCUUUCUUUUUCUAACCUCCUGAUAUCAAAUGGGAAAAUGCCAUAUCGUUACUGGACAAUUGACCCAUAAUGGAGAGACUUUUGUUGGUUGGACUUGGGCUUUUAUAUAACUCAGCAACUAUCAUAAUUAUAGGAGAAAUUUGAAGUAACCAUAUUGAUUUGGGUCUACCAAGAAGCAAGGUGAAUCGUAACAUAUCAUGCAUAUAACUUGAUUCAAUUAUUUUAUAUUCUACUUGUUUCUUAUGUAUUUUUACUUUUAUCAAAUAGUUUAGAUAUCAUUACCAAAUAUUCUCCUGACAUUUUCCUAUUAUUUCUGUAAGAUGCUAUAAUCUACACCCAAAGUAGUGGACCACUUACACUUUAUUAUGUACUAACCACGAUCAUAACUUACAUUCUCCACCUUGGCCUCUCUCUUAUCCCAAAAAGUAAAGACUCAGGGUUCGUAUCCCUUCCCUUCUGUCUAUAUAGGUCUAAGAGUAGUCAAGUGUUUCCUUCAAUAGCCUUCAUAUUCUUGGCAGUAACUAGGUACUUGGUUUUCAAACACAACAAAAAUAAUGGCUCAAAUUGCCAAGAUGGAGGUCCAAGCAGAGAUCAAGUCCCCUGCCAGUAAGUUCCACGAGGUCUGUAGCCGUAAAGUUUAUCUCGUACCCAAGGCUUGCCCUGAAAAAAUUAAGAGCAUUGAAGUAGUUGAAGGUGACUGGAAGACUGUGGGCUCUGUCCAGCUUUGGACUUAUUUCAUCGGUAAGGCAAAAUCCAUCAUUCCACGCCUCCCCCAACAAACACAAGGACACAGAGCUCAAUUGUACUUCUAUUAUUAUUACUAUUAUUAGGAAAUAAUGAUAAUCUAAUGGUAAUGUGACUCUACUCAUGCCGAUAUAAACCCCGUAAUCUUGAUCUCAAAUUGCUAUCAAACAAAAGAAUAUCAAAUAAAGGUAAAGUGUGUCCCCUAUAUUUAUACGUAGAUAGAUGAGUUCUAAGCUUAGCACCAUGUUUUCCAUUUGAAAAACAGGAGGAAAUACCGAAGAGGCUAAGUUGGUGGUUGAAAGGGUAGACGAGGAAAACAAAACGGUCACUAUGAACGUUGUGGAAGGAGAUAUCGUGAAGUAUUUCAAGAUCUUCAAGUGCACUAUUCAAGUAACCGUAAAGGAUAAGGGCAGCUUGGUGACAUGGAGUGUGGAAUAUGAGAAGCUAAAUGAGAGUGGCCCCGCUCCAGAUGCUUACCUCAACUUUGCAAUGGGUAUCGUUGAGAACGUGGAUGCUUACCUUCUCAAGGCAUGACAACAAAGGCGUAUUCAUGAGUCAUGACAUGGUAUGAAGCACUGGUACAACAAAAACUUGGGAAUAAUGUACCACACGCCAUGUCCUCAACUUCUACUGGUCAUCGCUAUAAUAUUAAAAGUAACUUCUUAUUCUACUUAUAUACCUUCCAAGUACUUUGUGUCUUGAAUGUUAUUAUCUAAAAAUAAAAAUAGAAAAUCUCGAAGAAGAGCAUUGUCCUUCGACACUUUUCUUUCUUUCUUUCUUUCUUCACUGCUGAGAAUCUCAACGUACGACUACCAUUUGCAUUAUGGACCCAUGACUGCCAUCCUUUGACCACAUUUGUUGCCCUCCCACCAAACUCCUACGCGUCAAAAUUUCUAUUGUUGCUUGAACAAUAUUUUCAUUUGAAAAACAAGGAAACGAUUUAAAAAUUCUUAUCUCAUGUCUAGUUACCCCGGUCGACCAUAUAAAGUACCACUUGAUCACUCUAGUCUCCUUUGCUAGCCCAUGGGCAAUGCAAUACCCAGCAGGUCCCAGUAACCAACUCUAUGUUCCUCCGAAAAUGAAACAAAUCAGGUCGUUUCAGGGAUGCAUUUGAUCUCACCCUUUUGUUUUGUGUCCGUUAUUUUUUAUUUUAAUAUCACAUGUUUAUAUUUUAAUCUCAUUCUUUACACCUGGAUUUGCUGAUAAAGGCAACUUUCUUUUUGAGCUUUGAUCGAGAUUUUUAUGAAAUUCCUGUGAUAUUACCGUCCUGCUCCUGCUUAAGAAUGUAACUUUGAUUUUGCUUUUAGUGAAGUCUUUAGGUGUUGUUUAUUCCCCAAAAUCUUUUGAUGUUUCUGAAAUUGCUUCAGUGGACUUUGAGAGGUUGCAGGUACCUCUUUUCUCCUGAAAUAGAAUUUGUUUCAGUGGAGCAAGACAACAGGAUGAGCAAAAAAUAGAACCAAUUUUAUUGAUAUAUAUCAGGUUUUUGAGACGUUGAAGAACAUUUCUAACAACUUUUUUUGAUGGGUGACCAAGCCUAUUAUGCCACAAUGCAUAUACAGAACAAGAAGAAAAAGAAGCAGGUGUUGGAACUACAGAAGAAUUGUAUACUAAGGGUUGUGUUGACAUACUGACAUAUGACUUAUGAGGAGUUGAGGGAGAGAAGCUGCCACUGAUUAUUAAUGAGAUCAAUUUGAGACUGAUAAAAAACAUAAAGACCAUCUUUAGGCCUACCCCUCCAGUAGCACUGUUUUGAAGUGAAAUUCAAAGAAGACAUUCUUUUGGGCAAAUUUUGACACACUGAGAAGGUUCUAAUUAGCAAUUUCAGGGACAUGAAGUGUUUUAAAGAGUAAUUUCAGCAAACAUAACUUCAACUUUACAUCCACCUGACCUCAUUAUUUCAGUUUGACAAGAGGGCUUAAUUAUAUCAGUAUGACUGCUAAGAAGACUUUGGAAUAUUAUAAAACGAGUCCAUCAAGUUCAAGGUUUGGAAUGGAAAGAUCAUGAGUAAUUUCACUACUUUUAAGCUGAAUAUGAGAAGGUAAAUGAGGAUGUCCCAGACCCAAUGCUUACUAAAUCAUUGAAGGUCACCUUCUUGAGGCAUAAUUCCAAUUCUUUUCAUCGAUGCUUCUUAGAUGUUAUAAAACAAUACUAUGAAAAUGAAAACGUAAUGUAAUUUUGUCAAAGCCUUUUCCUUAUUGAAGACUCUGGACUGAUUGCGUGGGUGCGCAACACCCACCAUAAUUCCCACACCAACGCCCAACUAACCAAAUCACGUAAGGCCUCACAUGGCCUCAUUAUUAUUUCUGUUGAAAGAUAAUACUAUAUUACAUACGAGAUGGCCAUUCUACCAGCCACCUGUAAAGUUGGUGAUAAAUUGAUACUAAAAAUAGAAGGAAAAUUAAGUUGAAAUUAAGGGUGUCUAUUUAAAUUUAAUUAUUCCCUAGAUAUGAUCUUUUGAUAUGAUUUGAACCCGUUAAUCAUUUAUUUUUAUAUAAAGAGACAAAAAUUCAAUUGUAUAAUCCAGGAUGAGUCACUUGGCCGGGUUUUCGACGACAGCUAAAUCAACCUUCAUUUAGUAAUGAUUGCCCAUGAAAUAAAUUAUCAUGUCUCCUCACAAUAUAAUAAACUAAUAAAAAAUAAAAGAAGAUCACAAAGAAAAGCAUCUUAGUGGAAGUUUUUUUUUUUUUUUUUUUCUUUCAUUUGUUGGUGGUGACACUCCGUGAAAUGUGAUCAACUAGCAUUUGAAUUACACAACCUAAUGCAAAUGAUAAAAAGCAUAAAUUACUUUAGAGUGUUUAGAAUUUGGAAGACUCUAGCUAGGAUGAUAUGGCAUGGGUCUGUGGCCGACAACCACCAAACCCAACGCUAAAUAAUUAUUAUUGAACCAUCAUCAUCAGUAUAAGCAACAUCAAACCUCUCCAUGUUAAACUGUACAUUUUAUUUCAUCCGGAUCUAAUAUCUAAUUAUAAAUGAUUAUGUAUGAGAUUGCAAUCCUUUGCUUAACUCUUUGAAAAUCUAAUUAUAAAUAUUUGGAAUAUCGAUUUCAUCUCUACCAUUAAAAGCAUAUGAAAAAAAUAUCUUGGUCUUUGAAUAAAAGUAAGUAUAAAUAAUUAGACUAGGGUACCAAAUGAUGAAAUCAAAUAUAAAUGAAUUAUAACCAUCAAAUUUCUAUUUUUCAUUAUUAAAUCAUUGGGCGCUCCAAUUUUUACAUGAUGUAUAACUAUUGACGGAAAUGUUAAUUAGGGAUGGCAACGGGGCUGGUUUUUUCGGGUACCCGCCCCCCCCUCCCCCCCCCCCGCCCCUAAUGGGACGGGGUUGAAAUUUAAUAAACGGGUUUUUAACGGGUAUGAGAUUUUUUUUUAAAACCAGGGGCGGGUUCGGGACGGGUUCGGGACGAGUUCGGGUAUUGCCCCAUUCCGCCCCGCCCCGCCCUGUUUACAUAUAAAAUCAAUUUUAAAAUUAAUUUUAUUUUACUAUUUUUAAUAUAUAGAUAAUAAUAAAAAAAUUAAUAAAAUAAGUUAUAAAAAAUAUAAUAAUUUUAUUAUUUAUAAAUAUAUUUAUUUUAAUGUAAUUAAAAAUUUUAAAAGUAAAUUUUUUUUUUUAUAAAAAAAAGGAGGCUAAACGGGGCGGGACGGGGAUGAGAAUUAUUUUUAAUAAACGGGGCGGGGUUGGGAUGGGGGCAACCCGUCCCGAACCCGCCCUGUUGUCAUUCCUAAUGUUAAUAUAAGGAUAUAAUAAUGGGUAAAAUUAGUUGAAAGUGUUUUUUUUAUGACAUAAAAUAAUUUUUCAAAUUUUAAUUUCUAUUUACUUUGUCUUCCCUUGUCAUGUAUCUUUGUAAUUUUCCGAUUUGUUUAUCAAAACAAUAAAUGAUGUCAUGUUAUGAUUUCUCUUUUUGUCUUCCUUUUUAAUUGACGUGUUUAUUGGAAUAAUAUAUUAUGUUAGACAAAAUAACACAUACCUCCACUGCCCAAAUCCCCUCCGUGACAAUGAACCCCAUCUUUAAGCAUUAUUAUAAAAUUAAGCAUAAAGUUAUUACAAGUUUCUUCCAUUUCACAUGCCUUUCCCAUAGAUUGAGUGGUGGAGAUGAUCAUUCUUGAACGAUUUAUAAUUUUAAUGAAUUCUGUCUAUUCUCAUAUCUUUUAAGAGGGAAUUCAAAUCAACUUAUCUUAUUUUCUCAACGCUACUUAACUUCCACGGCUUCAAAUUUACAUGAUCAUAUCAUUAUCAAUAACUUCGGCAUAACUAUUCAAAUUUUAAUAAGAACUUCAAAUCAUUGUUACCUUUAUUGCCUUAAAAAUCUUUUUCUUUGUCAAUGAUCCCUGCACGAUUAUUAAAUAAUAGGAUUGUUAUUGUCAUAUUAACUAAUUUUGAUAAUAUAGUCAUCGUCACGGCUGAGUGCCGUUUUCUUGGGAGAUUUUUCAUAAAUUUAAAUCAAUACCAGUUAUAGGAAAUGCGUCACAAAUUAGGAAGAUAUCGAGCUGGAAGCAGAUGAUAUAUAAUUCAUUAUUUUCUUCCUUAUUGAAGCUUGACAAACCAAUCCAAAUGCAUUAACGUGAGAAGCAAGGUUUUAUGCUCAUUUUCAAUGAACCUUGUCAACAUGCACGUCAAAAACAAUGAUUUAUUAACUACGUACAUGUAGAACUGCAUGGGAAAAAAAAAAUACAAUUAAGGCAUUGGGAUAUGAAUAAAACGCUUAACUUAAAAUUCAAAAUUCUCAAAACUACGUUUUUCACACCAAAAUGUUUCAUCCAGCCAACCUAAGACCGAGUGAAUCCUCCCUCUAAAGCACAUUGCCCAAGACUACAGGCAACGUAGUAAUUACCUAAGCAAAUACGUCAGAAUCAUACCAAUUUUUACCAAAGUGGGUAUCGGGAAGGAGCUUUGCCUAAUUCAUCCUUCUAUAUAUAAGGACAAGGUUAUCUACUUCUUCUCAUCACUGCCUUCUGUUUGAAUAUUUUGUAGUUAGUUUUAUCAAUCCAGCUAGUGUUAUUAUCAGAAAAACAUGGCUCUAACUGGUAAGUUGGAGACUGAAACAGAGAUCAAAGCACCUGCUGAUAAGUUCUUUAAAAUCUUCAGGAGCCAAGCACACCACCUUCCUAAUAUCUGCUCCGAUAAAAUACACAAAAUCGAGGUACAUGAAGGUGACUGGGAGACUCAGGGCUCCGUCAAGCAUUGGAGUUUGACCGUUGGUAAGGCAUCUCAAACUAAGAACCACAAAACACUAGCGUUAUAUUCUGUUAAUUAAAAUAAGUUAUUAUGUUUUUGUUUCAUUUCAUUGUUGUUUUCUUCACCUUUCAAUUAUUCUAUUAGAAUAAAAGCAUGCCUCUUUGUACAAUUUUUUUCUUGCAAAGAAGUGAUCGAGUCUGGGCCGCUAGUGACUAUGAUGGUUCUUAGGAAUGUACAUGACAUCUAAUAAUAGCUUCAACAUAUUCCAAUUAUGUUUAACCUCACAUUUUGGUUUCAACUAGGAGAGAAUUCUGAGAGUAUUAAAGAGACUGUGGAUCAAAUAGAUGAAGAAAACAGGUCCAUCACAUUCAAGGUUUUGGAUGGGGAGGUGCUGAAAGACUACAAGAGCUACAAGUUCACCACACAAGCGAUACCAAAGGGGGAGGGCUGCUUGGUGAUAUGGACCAUCGAAUAUGAGAAGGCAAGUGAGGGUGGCCCAGAUCCCCAUAACUGCCUAGAGUUUUCAGUUAAUAUCACCAAAGAUAUCGAAAGUCACCUUCUCAAUGCGUAACACCAAGGCCAUAUCCACCCUUUGCUAGUAUCUUGCUCGUAAAUAAAGUUUGGAACUUGGAAGUCCAUCUAUCUCUAUCUUUCAAUAAACGCAAAUUCCAGGUGUGGACUUGGUGAUUAGUGCCGAGAAGAUAAACUAGGUUUGCCUUGGUUAUUUGUGCAAUAAUAUUAGUGCAUGAGUGGGAUUGAUUGUAUGCUAUCUUGUCCGGGAGUUGCUUUGUGUCUUUUGUAAUGGGAUUACUACAUGUAAUGUGAAGACUAUAUGAUGCAUGGGGAAAUAAAUUAAGCGAAAACUUCCAUGGGCUCCAUCAUGAGGAGCCUUUGAGUAAGUCCACAAGCCUACAUUCUUGCAUUCUAGUCACAUGUGUCAAAAUAAGUCUCUACAAAUUAAAGUCUUAUUGUCAAAAUCCCACUUUACACAUAAUCUAAAUAAUUUAGCUAAAAUCUAAUAAGUAUGUCUCUCUUUAUAUGUACUUACCAUCCCAACUUUUAAAUUUAGGGAUAUCUAUGUAAUUUAGAUUUUAAAAAGAAAAUUUUAGGGAUAUUUACAAAGAUAAAUGAAAUAUUUUUGGUUCCGAUAACCAUUAUUUUUAUCUCAUUUUGGUUUCUUUGCGUUAUAAAAAAAAUGGUUUGUAGAGAUAAACUAGAGAAAAAAAAAAAUUAUACAAUGGUUUGUAGAGAAAUUUGAUUCGAAAAGUUAGAAAAGAUGAUUUGUUUUUUGCAUUUGCUUCAUUCUAAAAUUCAAUCACUAUCUUUUAUCUCAUUUUGGUUUCCCCACAUUAUCAAAAAAUGAAGGAUAAAAAUAAACUGGGGAAAAAAUUAUACAAAGGUCUCCGAGAACUUUGAUUUGAAGAGUUAGAAAAGAAGAAUUUUUUUGCAUUUGUUUCAUUUUAAAAUUCAAGGUUUUUGGAUUUCUAUUAUAUAUUAAUUAUGAGGAUAGUAGAAUAAUAAUAAUAAUAAACAAAAACUAGUUAUUAGUGACCUUGAUCAAUAGAGUAUAAGUUGUUGACCUUUAUUAUCUUUGUUAGAAGUAGUUAACGAUGCAAUGUAACCUUAGCCAAUAAAGAUGUUUUGAUAUACAUUGAUUGAAAAAUGUCCUUUUAAAACUAGUUAUUAUUGACCUUGGUCAACACAGAGGAUAAGUUGUUGACCUUUAUUACCCUUGUUAGGAGUAGUGAACGGUGUAGUAUAACCUUAGUCAUUAAGGAUGUUAUUAGCCUUUUGCUAUAUCAUUGAUUGAAAGUUGUCCUAUCCACCAAUAAGGAGAAUGAAGGCUAGCCACCAAGUACUAGUUUUAGUAUUUUGGCACAAUAUUAUUACUAGUGAGUCAAAGUGAAAUAUUUGUUGAUAAAACUUUUUUAAUAUGAAUUGAGUAAGCAAAAUAUAUUAUUUAAUUCUAUCAUUAAAUUGGAAGUGUUUAAAUUUUCAAAAACAAUUAUUUUAAUUAUUGAAUCAAAUGAGCUUACAUGUUAAUAGACUUUUAUAAAGAUGUGGUAUCUUCCGAAAUUUUAUUAUAUAUAAUAAUUGAUCUUCCUUAUACUAACUUUUAUCAUUGAGCCAUCGAGUUCACUUUUCUCUGUUAUUCUCCAUUUCAAUUAUAAAUGAUAUAAAGAGGGAUGAGGUAAGAAAAAUAUUUCUAUUAGAGACAGCUUUGGAAUUGAUUUAUUUUAGGAUUAUUUACUAGACUGAAUUCAUUUAUAAUUUCUAAAUUUCUUUUUGAAGAAUUUGAGAAAAUUAAAUUAAUUAUUGAGAGAUUUUAAUUAGUUUUAAAUUUGUUACUUAAAGUCGUUCACAUGUUGGAUUCUAAUAUUUGAUACGUGAAACUAGCAUGAAGGGCUUGACCUCCGGGUUUGGGGCGUCGCAGCUGACUUUAGAUUACAGAAUUAUUAAUCAACCUACCAAUCUUCAAAGCAAUCUAGGAUGCAAUAUGGUUUUGUGAUUUAAGAUCAAGUGGACGCUUCAUUUAUUAUGUCUUCAAAAAAACAUUUUGGGCCUCAAUUCGAGAUUAUCAGAUAUGGAUUCUAACAGUUGCUUCCAAUCAAAUCAGUGUCACAGAAAUCGCUACCAUUGUGGUACCUGAAAAAAAAAAAAAGAGACUCCUUCCCUUAAUAUUGAAAUUUAUCUGAAGCUAUGCAGUAAAUAAAUGCCCCAUUUUGUGCGUCAUAAUGGGGGAUCACAUUCAGAAUCUUCUGCACAUGCAAAUUAAAAUCAAAAUCAAGCCAUUGGCCUAUCACAUUACCAUUUUUGGCCCUUUUGUUUUGUUGUUUUUUUCUUUUUUUGGCGUGUAUAUAAAAAGCAACCACAUUAUCCAACUUUUAUUGAAAACACCAUAUUAUCAGAUACAAAAACGCCACAUCAUUAUUAUUGAAAAUUAAAUUCCCAUAUAUAGAAAGCCACAUAAAAUUCAGUGCCAAUCACAAACAUUCGUUGAUAUUCACUAGGAUAGAGAUAGAGUGCCCAUAUAUGGACAGUGCACCAUACCCGCCGUGAAGUGAUUGGAAGAGUGUGGACUAUGUCAAGCUCCGGACUUAUUUGUAUAGGUAAGGCAACGCUAACCAUUAUUAUUCCCAUGCCACCCUCAAUCAAGCACAGUCAUACACUCGGCACAUGGCACUUCUUGUUUUUAAUUAUUAUCAUAGUGAACAAUGUUUUCAUAAUCGGAUCGAUCAUCGAACCGAAAAAGUUAUCGAUUUACAGUCCAUUAGUCGAACCGACGGUCGAACCAAUAACAUCAUAAAUAUGUAAUUUAUAUAUUAUUAAAAUUAAAAAUAAUUAUACAAAUUUUAAAAUAUAUAUGAAUAAAUUAAAAAUCAAUAAUAUUAUUUUGUAUCUUUAAUAUUAUCAAAUUAAAUCAUAUUAAUAUUUUAAAUUUUAUUGAAUGAAAUAUAUAUAAUAUUUAAAUAUGAAUAUAUUAAAAAUGAAAAUUUAAUUAAACUAAUUUUAUAAUUUUUAAAAAUAUUAUAUUAUUUUUAUUUAAUAUUAUAAAAAAAUUUAAAAUCCAAUAUAUAUUAUUUUGUUUGGCAUAUUAAAUAAUAAAAGAUGUAUAGCCGAGUGGUCCUAGGUUGGUUAUAGACCUUGAGGUCCAAGUUCAAAUCCUUUGGUGGAUUUGUUAAUUUUUUUUUUCAUUGAUUAGGUUAGUUAGCAAUCCCACACUAAGAGGAAUAAGGAUGCUUAUAAAAGCUAGCCUCAUUAUGGGCAAAGGCAUCACCUCAUCUGGUGGGCUUAAGACUCAGCCCAUAAAAUGGUUGGGUGCGGUGUGGGCUUUGUCACAUUAAGACAGGGCCCAUCAUGGGCUUUUGCUAAAUUUUUUUAUACAAGGGAGCCUUCCAUGCUUGCAAAAUGGUGGGAUAACUUGAACCGAUCGAUUCGCUCAAAACCGUCUGAUUUCGUUGGGUUAUCGAUUCAAUCAUCGAUUUAGGUGAUUUGUGACCGGUCCAAUGCUUAGACGGUUUAAUAAAGUAAAUCUAAUAAAAAAUGUGAUGGAUCGACGAUUGAACCAGUUGGAUCAGUCGGUCCCACCCGAUUUUUAAAACAUUAGAUAAUAACAAAUUAAAAGAAGGGUGUCUCCUCAUAUGAGUUUUUUUGAAGUUCUCUACUCUUGGAGUGACUGAAAGGAUAACUGCAGCCUGGUGAGAUGGACUUUGGAAUAUGAGAAGUCAAAUCAGAGGCUCCUUCCUCCAGAUGCUUACCUCAGCCUUGUAAGCAUGAGUAAAGAUAUGGAUGGUUUACCUUCUCAAGGCAUAAACCGCAUAACAGCAAGGCCUAUAUCCUUGACUUGGUCUGAAAGCAUCCUAGCUUGGGUCCUUCUGGGAAUGGGAUUGCCACACGUAUGACCUCUGUAUCAUCAGUUUUGGGGCAAAAUAGCCAUUUUAUGUAUAAAAAAAAAUAAGCUUUAGCCCUUUACAAAACUUAUGUUUAAACUAGCUCACAUAGAGUCAUGUCAUCAUUUUUCUUUUAAACUCAAUUAGACUUUAUUUUUUAACUGAAACUUCAAUUACCAAUUGAGAAUUCAUUUUUUAACUAAAACUUCAAUUUACAAUUGAGGUUUUAGUUAACUUUGUUUUAAAUUUAAAUAAAAAAUUAAAUUAUAAAUUAUUAUUGAAAUUUAAAAAAUAUAUUUUAAUAAUAAUAAUUUAUAUAUUUAAACUUAAAUAUCUAAUAUUACUUCAAUAAAGAUAAAUUGACAAAUAUAAUAAUAAAUAAAUAUUUUAUUUAUCAAUAAAUUAAUAAUUUUAAAAUAAUAAAGUUAUAUGAAAUCUAAAUAAGAUAUAAAAUUAUAUAAUUUGUUAAUUUAAGAUAUUUAAUUUUUUGUAUUUUUAAGAUAUUAAUUUAUUUGUAUUUUGACAAAUUUAUCUUUAUUAAAAUAAUAAUAUAUUCUUAAGUUUCAUAUAUAGAUUUUUUUAUUAUUUUAAAGCAUAUAUUUAUAGUUUACGUAAAAAAAUACUAUUAUUUGUACAUACAAUAUAUAUGCCUUGAAGAUACAUUUUGAAAUUAGUUAAUAAAAUUAAUUAGAAAAAAGUCUACUAUAAAAUUUAAUUUUUAAUAGUUUCAUCAAAGUCACAAAAAAUACUCAUUAAAUAUUUAUAUUAUGGAAAAAAAAUGCCCCUCCCUAAUAUUACAUGUGAUAUAACUUAAAUUAAUAAAUUGUAUAAUUUUAUAUUUUAUUUAUAUGUCAUAUAAUUUUAUUAUUUUAAGAUUAUUAAUUAAUUGAUAAAUAAAAUAUUUAUUUAUUAUAUUUAUCAAAUUAUCUUUAUUGAAGCAAUAUUAGAUCUUUAAGUUUAAAUAUAAAAUUUUUUAUUAUUAAAGUAUAAUUUUUUAAUUUCAAUAAUAAUUUAAAAUUUAAUAUUUUUAAUUAAAUUUUAAAGUAAAAAAAUAAAAUAACUGAAGUUUCAAUUGACAUAUCUUAUUUAGAUUUCAUAUAAUAUUAUUAUUUUAAGAUUAUUAAUUUAUUUAUAAAUAAAAUAUUUGUUUGUUAUUAUAUUUAUUAAUUUAUUUUUAUUGAAGUAAUAUUAGAUCUUUAAGUUUAAAUAUAUAAAUUAUUAUUAUUAAAAUAUAUAUUUUUUAUUUCAAUAAUAAUUUAUAAUUUAUUUUUUAAUUAAAUUUUAAAAUAAAAUAAAAAUUUUAACUAAAACCUCAAUUGUCAAUUGAGGCUUUAGUUAAAAAAUAAGUUUCGAUUGACAAAUGAUACUUCAAUUAAAAAAUGAAGUCUUAGUUGGUAAUUGAGACUUCAACUUAAAUUUUAAAAAAAAAAAAUUAUGACAUAACUCCUAUAUGUGAUAAUAAAGGAACUAGUUUAAACAUAAGUUUUAUAAAAGGGUUAAAACUUAUAUUUUUUUCUACAUAAAAAACUAUUUUGCCCUAAAACUCCCGUAUCGUCGACUAGCUACUGCUUUACUCCAUGUAACAUCUUGUCUACUUAAUUAUAUGAACUUCCUGAAUUAAUGCUGGAAUGACAAACCAAGUUUUAUUGAAAAUGGAAACCUUCUUAGAAUCAAACAUUUGCUCGAACAAAUUUCGCAAUAAAAAGAGGAGAGUUGUGAAAAGAAGCAUUUUUCCUGCAGCCAAUUACCUUUUCAUACAUUACUUUAAAACAAAUUAACAAAUAGUGAUCUCAUAUUUUACCUUUUCUGUUGCAGAUUACUUUUAAAAAUAUUCUCUCCACAGGCACUCCUACGGAAUCUUUCUCCAAAUCAAACUGUACAUUUUACUCAAAUUUUAAUAUCUAAUUAUAAAUAAUUAUGGGUGAGAUUGCAAUCCUUUGCUUAGCUCUUUGAAAAUCUAUGAUGAUACUCGGUAUUAAUAUUUUAUUUUAUUAAAGAUAAAAAUAUCAAAAUAAUUUUAGAACUUUUUAGUGGGGAUAAUACUUCCCCAUUAGGCUGCUUACAAGGCAUAAAUUAAUAUUUUUUUAAUUUUAAUAAAAGCAAUUUGGUACAGUUGACUUGAUUGAUAACUAUUUAAGAUAGGAUUUAGACUAAUUUAGAUUAAUUAGAUUGCAUUUACAGUUCCGUUACCUCGAAACAAAGUUGGUGCAACAUUAACCAUGAUUAUGGUGAUAUAUUUUAGUUUUAUAUUUUUUAAGGGGAUAAUUUUUUUUUUUAAUGGUUUGAUGUUAGCUUAUAAGAAAAACCUAAACCAUAAAAGCCGAAUCUUUCCAAUAUUGAUCCAAUUUCUAUCAUUAAAAAUAUAUGAAUAAAACUUUUGAUCCUUAAAUAAAAGUAUACAAACUAUCGUACAAAAUAAUGGAAUCAAAUAUACAAAAUAAGAUUAAGGAAAUGUUUGAUAAAACUUAAUAUUUAUUAUUUAAUAAUUUAAAUUAACUCUAAGUUAAAUUAUAUUUAAGUUGUUGACUUAAAACUUAUUAUUUAAUUUUUAUUUUAAGUAUUAAGGUUAUUUAAAAAAAUUAACUUACAAUUUAUAUUAAAUCAUCAAAUUAAAAUAUUUAUCUUAAUAAAUUAUAACUAAGACAAAUAAGGUUAAAUAACAAUGGAGGUUGUGAAGUCAUAAAAGAGAUCAUAAAUGUAAUUGAGAGAAAAAAAGACAAAAAUAUAAAAUGAAGAUACUGACUUAAAAAUAAAUAAAUUUUUUUAUUUAUUAAGUCUUUUAUUUUAAGUCAUACAAUAAAAUUAUUUUAUCAAACAUAUUUAAUUUAUUUAAUAAUAUAAUUAAAAUAUUAAGUCACUUAAAGUUAUUAAAUUGGUUUACCAAACACGUACUAACGUACAAAUAAAUAAGACUAAAAUAGAAAACAAUGAAACUUAAACACAUAUAUGACAUGGUCUAUUUAAUUGUAUUUUUUUAUAAAUGCCUCUUUAAUACUUCCCAAAUCAUAACAUUAAAUUUCUUAAAUUGAUAUAAAACAUUUUUUUUUUUCUANNNNNNNNNNNNNNNNNNNNNNNNNNNNNNNNNNNNNNNNNNNNNNNNNNNNNNNNNNNNNNNNNNNNNNNNNNNNNNNNNNNNNNNNNNNNNNNNNNNNACAUAUAUGACAUGGUCUAUUUAAUUGUAUUUUUUAUAAAUGCUCUUUAAUACUUCCAAAUCAUAACAUUAAAUUUCUUAAAAUUGAAUUAUAAACAUUUUUUUUUUCUAUGAUUGAAUCAUUUAGCACUCCAAGUUUUACUAUUGGACGAAAUGUUAAGGAUCUAAUAAAUGGGUAACAUUAAUUUGCUGAAAUAGUUUUUCUUAUUACUUAUAAUGGUUUUAAGAAUGUUGAAAAAAAAAUUCAUGGGAAAACAUUUAUCAAACUCAAAUUUUGAUUCCUAUUUACUUUAUCUUUCCUUGUCAUGUCUCUUUCUAAUUUUCCUUUUUUAGCGGUUUGUUUAUUAGAACAGUAUAUCAUGCCUGUGAUUCUCUUUCUAUCACUUCUUUUCAAUUGAUUUGUUUAAUGCAAUAAUAUUUGUUUAAUGCAAUAAUAUAUCAUGUUAGACAAAAUAACACCUACCUACUACCCAAAUCCCCAAUGUGACAAUGAACUCUAUCUUUAAGCAUUAUUAUAAAAUUAAACGUAAAGGAUAUUAUAAGUUUCUUCCAUUCCACGUGCCUUUCCCAUAUAUUGAAAGGUGGAGGUUAUCAUUUUUAAAAGAUCAAUAAUUGUAAUGAAUUUUCCAUUCCACGUGCCUUUCCCAUAGAUUGAAAGGUGGAGGUGAUCAUUUUUAAAAGAUCAAUAAUUUUAAUGAAUUUCAUAUAUUUGCAUAUUUUUUAAGAGGGAAUUCAAAUUAACUCAUCUUAUUUCUCAAUGUUACGUAACUCCUGCCUCAAAUUAAAAUCAUCAUAUCAUUAUGAACAACUUUGAUACAACUAUUCAAUUUUUAAUAUGAAUUCUUUCAUUCUCAAAUCAUUGUUCAAGUUAGCUUUAUUAACUUAAAAAAACUCAUUCUUUGUCACUACUCCCUCUAUGAUUAUUAAAUGAUAAAAUUGUCAUUGUCUUAAAAACUAAUUUUGAUAAUAUAUUCAUCAACAUAUUUACAAAUUUAAAUUAAUACAAGUUGUAAGAAAUGUAUCAUAAAGAAGAUACAAAACUAGAAGUAGAUGAUAAUUAAUUAUUUUUUUUCUUUAUUGAACUUUGACACCCCAUCCAAAUGCAUUAACGAGAAAAAUAGUGUUUUAUGCUUGUUUUCAAUUAAUCUUGUCAAUAUGUACAUGAAAAACAAUGAUUUAUGCUUAUAAAUCUUAUCAAUUCGCUUAUUUGUAUAUGUAAAAUGAAAUUAUUGAAACUACACGUAGAAUUGCAUGAGGAAAAAAAUACAACUACUGCAUUUAUAAAUGAAUAAAAGCUUGGCUUAAAAUUCAAAAUUCUCAAAACUAUGUUUUCCACACCAAAAUAUUUCAUCCAGCCAACCAAACACCGAUUGAAUCCUCCCUCUAAAGCAUAUUGCCCAAGAUUACAGGCAACGUAGUAAUUACCUAGGCAAGUACGUCAGAAUUAUAGCUUCUUUUUUUUUUUUGUUUUUUUUCAGUUCAUUGACUCGGCUCCACCCAACCACUAUCAGUAUCAGUUACUACCAGAGAGGGUACUGGGUACUGGUUACUGGGCAGGAGCUUUUCCAAAUUCACAACCCGUCUUCUUUAUAUAAGGGCAAGUUUAUGUAUUUCCUCUCGCCAUUGCCUUUUGUUCGAAUCAUUUGAAGUUGAUUUUAUUAAUCCAUCAGAAAAACAUGGCUCUAACUGGUAAAUUGGAGAUUGAAACAGAGAUCAAAGCACCUGCUGAUAAGUUCUUUAAAAUCUUCAGGAGCCAAGCACACCACCUUCCUAAUAUCUGCUCCGAUAAAAUACACAAAAUCGAGGUACAUGAAGGUGACUGGGAGACUCAGGGCUCUGUCAAGCAUUGGAGUUACACCAUUGGUAGGAUAUGCAACUCGAACUCAGAACCCCAAAACACUAGCUAGCAUUAUAUUCCGUUAAAAUGUUUUUUGAUUUUUUUUCCCCAUUUCAUUGUUGUUUUCUUCACAUUUUUUUAUUCUUUUAGAAUAAAUGCAUGGCUCUUUGUACAAUUUUUCUUUUUUUCUUGCAAAGAAGUGGUCAAGUCUGGGCCGCCAGUGACUAUGAUCGAUGGUUCUUAGUAAUGUAUAUGGCAUCUAAUAUUAGCUUCAACAUAUUCCAAUUACUAGGAGGGAAUUCUAAGAGCAUUAAGGAGAGUGUGGAAUCAAUAGAUGAAGAGAACAGGUCCAUUACGUUCAAGGUUUCGGAUGGAGAGGUGCUGAACGACUACAAGAGCUACAAGUUCACCACACAAGCAAUACCAAAGGGAGAGGGCUGCUUGGUGAAAUGGACCAUUGAAUAUGAGAAGGCAAGUGAGGAUGGGCCAGAUCCCCAUGACUACCUGGAGUUUGCAGUUACUGUCACCAAAGAUAUCGAAAGUCACCUUCUCAAUGCAUAACACCAAGUCCAUACAUACCGUCUGCUAGUAUCUCUAUUAAAUAAAGUUUGGAACUUGGAAGGGCAUCUACGAUCUCUAUCCUUCAAUAUAUGCGAAGGCUUAGGGGAACUUUUAGCAGCUGUGGCUUGGUGAUUAAUGCUGAGAAGAUAAACUAGGUUUCCCUUAAUUAUUUGUGUAAUAAUGUUAGUGCAUGCGUGUAAUCGGUUGUAUGCUUGUCUGGACUCUAGGGGUUGCUUUGUGAUUGUUAAUUGGUGUCUUUUGUAAUGGGAUUACUACAUGUUAUGUGAAGACUAUAUGAUGUAUAAGGAAAUAAAGUGAAAAUUACCAGGGGCUAACUCCAUCAUGAGGAGCCUCUGAGUAUGUCCACAAGUCUACAUUCUUGCAUUCUAGUCACAUGUGUCAAAAUCAGACCCUAACAAAUUACAGUCUUGAUCAUUGAAGGGGUAAAAUCCCACUUUACAUAUAAUCUAAAUAAUUUAGCUAAAAUCUAAUAAGAAUAUCUCUCUCUACAGGUAUGUAACCUUCCAACCUUGAAUUUAAGGAUAUUUAUAUAAUUUAAAAUUAUAAAAAGAAAAUUUUGGAUAUAGGACAAAUUAAUUUUUUUUUUAAAAAAUAACGAAAGUGAAUGAAAUAUUUUUGGUUCCUAUGACCACCCACUUUUUUUACUUUUUAUUUUUAUCUCAUUUUAGUUUCUCCACGUUAUAAAAAAAUGAAAAGAUAAAAUAGAGAGGAAAAAAGACAACUUGGAUUUGUAGAAGUUUCUUUCUUUCAUGGUGUUUUUCUGUUCUGUUUUUGCCUUUGUUUCAUUCUAAAAGUCACUCACUAUCUUUAUCUCAUUUGGGUUUCCCCGCGUUAUCAAAAAAUGAAAAUAUAAAACAAAGAGGAAAAAAAAACCUAUACAAAGGUCUUUGGAAUUUUGAUUCAAAGACUUAAGAAAAGAAUAAUAAAUUUUUGCAUUUGUUCCGUUCUAAAAUUCAAGGUAAGUUUUUCACAUAUAAUUUUUUUUUAGGAAUUCUAUUAUCUAUUAAUUAUGAGAAUAGUAAAUAUAUAUAAUAAUAAUAAUAAUAAUAAUCAUCAUCAUCAUCAUCAUCAUCGUCAUCAUCAUUAUCAUUUUAAAACUAGUUAUUAGUGAUCCUAAUCAAUCGAGAACAAGUUGAUUUUCAUUACCCUUGGUAAUGGUAGUGAUAAAAUAUAUUUUUAGUUAAUAAGGGUGUAAUUAGCUUUGGGGUUUCAUUGAUUAGAAAUUAUUUCAUCUACUAGUAAAAAAAACAAAGUAAAACUAACCAUCAAGUGCAAAUCAUGAAUUUUUUUAAAUAUGAAUUGAGUAUACAAAGUAUAUUAUUUAAUUAUAUAUUUAAAUUGAAAGAGAUUAAUUUUUCAAAAAUAGUGAAUUUAAUCAUUGAAUCAAAUCAACUUACCUGUUAUAAAGAUGUGAUAUGUUCCAAAAUUUAGUUGUAUACAAUACGUGACCCUUCUUAUUAAACUAUCCUUUAUCAUUGAGCUAUCUAACUUACCUUUCUCAAUUAUUAUCCUUUAAGGUACAUCAAAUAUUGGUAUAAAUGAGAAGAGAUCGAGAUAUGAAAAGUAUUUCAAAUAGAAACAUCUUUAGAAUAGAUUUAUUUUUUAGGAUUGUUUACUUAGAUCAAGUUUAUUUUAAUUUCUAAAAUGUUUUUUUAAGUGUUUGAGAGAAUUAAAGUUAUUAUUUAGAUAUUUUAAUUAGUUUUGGAUUUGUUUGUUAAGGUCAUUCAUACAAAGAUGAUAUCCAUUUCUGUGUUAUAUUUUAUUUUAUUUAUUUAUUUCUUAUUUCAUGUAUUAAGUUUGAUAAAACUGAAGGUGAAAUCAACAUUGAAUUGCUAAAAAUGUCAAUUACUAUUGUUAAUUUAUCACAAUUAUGAUUUUUUAAUUGUAGCACAUAGUAAAAUUAUUAUUAUUAUUAUUAUUAAUAUUUAUACUCUGGUCGAACUUAUCCAUGGCCAAUCCAUCAUGUAGGCCAAUUUUGUCAAACUUAUCCAUGGCCCAUCCAUCAUGUAGGCCAAAUUUUUAUUAGCAUUUUUGGGUCAUAACUCUAGAUGCUGACAUUAAAGCAUUUCUGGCAUAAUAAUUAUUGGAAAAGGAUGUCUCCUCUUUCAUGGAUCACAACCAAUACAGCAAAGAUGAUGAUAGAUAGCAUCCUUAUCACCUCAUGUGUCUUGACCUCUUCUUCAAGCUUGAGUGUCUUGUCCUAUAUUUAACGCAUGUACCAUUGCCUCCAAGAUAUGGUGACAGGAAUUAUAUAGCUACUGACUAGCUAGUCUUCACUCCAAAAAUAUGAUGGCCACUUUUUUGAAAUAUAACUCUUUAUCCUAUUGACUUAAACUCACCACCUCUUUCAGAUCCUCCACAAGGAUCAACUUAUUAAGAGUUUGGUCGAAGUUUGAUCCACUUUUCUAAAUGAGCAAUGUUAAAUUAUUUUAUUCAAACAAAUUUGAUGAUCAAAUAUCUCUUAUUUUCUCAAAUUUAAAUAACAUUCCUUUAUAAAAAUAAUUAUAAAAUUUAUUAUAAUCACUCAUUUUCAAUGGCUCAUUAGUAGAUGUUCAUUGUAUUAAAAUACAUUUAUAUGAUUAAGAAAAACUUAUACAUUUCUAUUUUUUUUUUCUAUGCAUAAUUUAUAAUAUCUCAUAUAGGAUUUAUUGGGUUUAGAAACAUGUAAUAUUUAUAUAAUAGUGAGUGAAUUAUUAUAAAUGGUAUGAAAAUUGAUUUUCAACCCUUUAUGAGAAUUUAUUUAAUACUACAAUAUAUGACUCUAUGUUUGAUUAUGUAAUCCUAUAAGACACGAUGUCCAUUAAGUUCAUUAUAUUAUUUUUAAUUAUGUAAAAAUAUUUUAAAAUUAAAAAAAUUCAUUAAACUUAGUGCAGACGCUAUCUAUAUAAAAGGAAAUAAAUGGUUAUACUUCAUCAUAUUCGUUUCUCAUAUUUGAUAUAUAUCAAUUUCAGCGACUAUUAUUCAACAUUGCCCGAAGCAAUAGGUGCCUCACUUUUACAAAGAAAACUUCCUCUAUUGAUAUUUCUCAAAUAUAAAUUCAUGUCAUGGACUCAUGGUUAACAACCGAUAGAUCCUAAAACAAUUAGAUAUCUCAGAUAUUGAUUGACCAAAUGGACAACCGAUGCUAUAGUAAGAGCUGUUGCUGUUAUCUUUUAAUUUAAAUAUACACAAACGACAAAAUGCUUAACUAAUCCACCACCCAGGCGCCGGGCCACAGAAAUGAAAUACCGCCUACCCCAACAUUUUGGAAUUAAAAAUCUACACCACCCAGAUCUUGCUGUGAUUUGGUAAAUCCCGAGAAAUUGACAACCUUCCUACGCUGGGGAGGCGUGGUUCCAUUCAAUGCCAACAUUUUCGGAUGGGUCCAGAGAGUUGUACAGUGACUUUUAAAUAAAGAAUUGUUUUAAACCUUGACUUUGGGCUCUUUAUCAGGAAUAUGAAAAUAUUGGGCAAUGACUAGAUUCGAGAGCAGGUUGCAUGCAUAGAUAUCGCAUUAAUUUUUAGCAAUCGUUAUGACGAAAGAAAAUCUGCAGAACCAAGCGAAUUUUCCUAGUCAUCAUGAGAGACAUUAGACAAGGUUUUCAAUUCAUAAAAUUGCCUUAUCAUCUGGAAUUAAAUAUUUUCAAGCUAAGGAUGAGGUUCAAUCCGUACGGGGCAAUGAAAAUAUAUGGAUGCCCUAUAGAGUGGUUGAACAUUCUACAGUUUCGUCCCUAUUUAUAGAAGAAGAUGAAAUUUUAAGCAAUUUGCUUCAAUGCAAUUUUAGCAUAUUUCAGCUAGUCAUAGCAACGUCUAAUUUCGUUGAUGUAGAAGAAGCUAACACCAAAGAUUCAUCUAGGUAGAAAGAAGUAUCGAGCAUGUAACUAACCGCAGAACUCACAUCUAGGGACCCUAUUGUAAAUAUAACAGGUGAUGGACAUAAAGAUAGAUAUGAGUAAAAGAGUGGAACAUAAAAUCCAAAUUUCAAAAGUAUGAUAGUUUUUUAGUGUUUCUUUGAAUCUCGUAGGAAUUUAGGUCAUUUUCAAUCUCAUCCAUGAGACAAGGUACAAUAAUUGUUGAAGAAUAAGAGUAUUGUUGGGCAGUUCGGCGAGCUAUAUAUAAAGAGAGAGACUUCUUAACCAUAUAAAUAUUAUCCUCUAUAACUCUAAAUUUUUUUUUCCUUUAUCCAAUAUAAAAUAUCACAAUCACUUUUAUGUAUGCACUCUUUUUAAUCACGUCGCAUAAAAUUACACCAUUUUCAAAGCUAAAUAAACUCCUAUAUAGGGGUCAUAUAUUGACUUCAAUACUCUUUGAAACGACUCACACUUAAUCAUAUAAACUCAUUAUAAUAAUGUAUUUCCUAAUUUCAUGGAAUUUCAAUAAAAUAUUUAUUACUUUCAAAUGGGAAUUAGAGAGGAAUGUUGUCUAGCUAACUCAUAAUUCUUCUUUAUAAGUUCAAAUUAGGUAUUUACUUCUUCCUACCAUUACCUCAUAUUUUGAUUGUUUCUUCGUUAAUAUAUAGUUGGUUAAACUAAUAAACUAGAGGUUAGGAUGGAGAUCAAUUUAGAUUAUGUUUGUUUUGAGUUUAAUAAACCCUUACGACUUUAAAAUGUGUUUAGAUAGUUAAGAGAAACUUAUACAUAUAUAAUAUUAAAAAAAUUUCCUCAUUUAAUGUGAGAUAUUAUAAUCAUCACUCAUGUAGACAUAAUAUAUUUGUUGUAAGUCAGAAGAUUGUAAAACCAAACAAAUUUUUUCAUUGAAAUAUAAUAUUAUUUGUAAUGGUUCACUUUCUCUCAUGGAUCCCAACUCCAUUAGGUUCUUCAUGAAGCUUGUUUCAGUUUAUUAACCACCGAUGUAGCAAAGAUGAUGAUAAGUAGUAUUUUUGUUUCUCAUAUGUUUUCAGACCUCAUCAAGCUUGAGUGCCUUAUCCCAUCUCUAACGCAUGUACCAUUGCCUCCAAAAUAUGUUGCCAGAUUAUACAUAAUAUCAUAAUUAUAGCUACUGAAGUCCAACGACUACCUAGCUAGUCUUCACUCCCAAAAACAUGAUGGUCACUUCUUUGAAAUAUAACUCUUAUCCUAGUGACUCAAACUCACCACCUCAUUGACAUCCGUCAUAAGAAUUUCAGAGACUCUUCAAAGUUUGAUCCACUUUUAUAGAUGAAUAAUGUAAAAUUCUUUUAUUCAAACAAAUUUGAUGAUCAAAUAUCUUUUCUUUCCUAAAAAUUAUAUUUCCUUUUUAUAAAUCUUAUUUUAAUGACCCAAUUACAGUAUGGUAGAUAUUGUUUGUUUCGAGUCCAAUAAACCCUUAUAACUUUAAAAUAUGAUUAAAUAGUUAAGAGAAACUUAUAAAUAUAUAAAUGUGAGGUCAAAUAAAUUUUCAUAUUGAGAUAAAAGAUUAACUUUAAUACUAUUUGUAAUGGUUUACUUUCUUUCAUGUAAACAUCAUCCACUUUAUACUCAAUGAAUCAUUGAAGCUUUAAAACAUAUUUACAUGAUUAAAAGAAACUCGUACAUAUAGUAUUAGAAUUUUUUUUUUCUGACCCAUGAUUUGCAAUAUAUGUAUAAAUACGUUUUAAAGUUAUGAGGAUUUAUUAAGUUCAGAGUAAAUAGUAUUUAUAUUAAAUGGAAUGACAUGUCACAUGCAAAUAAUAUCAAACUCAAUCUCCAAUUUUUAUAUAAGAGUUUGUUUGAUUUUAUAAAAAAUGUUUGUGUGUUUCAUUCUACAAUUCUGUGAGACACAACAUCCAUUUAAUUUAUUAAAGUCUUUUUAACUAUGUAAACAUGUUUUAAGUUGUUAAGAUUGAUUGGGUAAAAACAGAAGAGGUGAUUGUGUGUUUUAUCCUACAAUUCAAUGAGGCAAUGCCUAAUUGAUUCAUUGGGGUACUUUUAAUCGUUAAUGCAUGUUUCAAUGUUGCUAAGAUUGAUUGAGUGAGGAAAAUAUCUACAUAUGAAAGGCAACAGUUAGUUACACUUCAUUAUGUUUUUUUCUAAUAUAUUGAUAUAUGUCAAUUUCAGUAGUUAUUAAUUCAACAUCGCCCAAAGUAACCAAUGCCUCGCUUUUCCAAACAAAACUUUCUCUAUUGAUAUUUCUUAAAUAUAAAAUCAUGUCAUGGUAAGCAUCCGAUGGAUACUAAGACAAUUGGAUAGAUAUCUCAGAUAUUGAAUGGACCAAAUGGGGUAACGGAUGUGGUAGUAUACAAGCGCUGUAUAUCUUUUAAUUUAGAUAUACACACACAACGUAAUGCCUAAUCCAUCCAGCCGGGGGGCCGGCCAGAGAGAUAUAAAAUACCCCCAAUCCCAUCAUUUUGUAUUUUGUAUUGGAAUUAAAAAUCCAAACCCAGAUAUUGCUAUGAUUUGGUAAAUCCCGAGAAAUUGAGAACCCAUCCUGGGGGAGGCAUGGUCCCCCUAUUCAAUGCCAACCCUAUUUUCAAAUGGUGUCUAAAGAGUUGUACAGUUAACGGUGACUUUAAAAUAAAGAAUUGCCUUAAACCUUGAUUUUAGGCCCUUCUUCAAGAAUAUGAAAAUGCAUGUUGGGCAAUGAUUUAGAUUCGAAAGUGGGUUCUGCAGACAUCACAUUUCUGCAGAGCCGAAAAUAUUUACAAGCGUAGGACGAAGCUCAGUUCAGAUGGGCCUCGAAGAUGAAUUUUUAAGCAAUUUGCUUGAUACAUUCAGCAAUUGAUAAUUUAAAAUAAAAAAAAUUAGGAAAUAGAAAGUAAAACAUAUAUGGUUAAAACUUCAAUGCAAUUUUAGCAUAUUUGAACUAGUCAUAGGAGCGUUUAAUUUCUUUGAUGAAGAAGCUGAACACCAAAGAUUCAUCCAGGUAGAAAAAUGUAUUGACCAUCUAAUUGUCUGCAGAACCUACAUCUAAGUACCCCGCUAUAAAUAUAAGAGGCAACUUAGGUGAGGGACAUAUAGACACAUACGAAUGCCAUUGUAGAAUAUAAAAUCCAAAUUUCUCAAAACUAUAAGGUUAUGUUUGAAUCCAAAAAAAUAUUAGAGGAAGUGAAAAUGUUAAGAAAAAUAAUUUUUUAUGAUUAAUUUUAUUAUAAAAAAUAUAAAAAAUAAAUAUAAUUAAAAUUAGUUAGAAUUUUACAUAUUUUUAAAUUAUAUAAUUUGAAUUUAAAUAAAUAUAUAAAAAUAAGUCAUUAAUUUUAGAUCUAUUUCUUUUUUCUUUUUUUAUAUUCUCCCACAAAAUUUCAGUAACCGAACACAACCUAAUAGUUUCCACUGUUUCUUUGAAUUUCUCAACUUCAAAAUCUCUUGUCUAUGAGACCUCAGAGUAAUUAAUUCCUACCUCUUGGUGACUAGGCCAAGCGCAUGGAUAGGCACAUUGACCCACUUGUAAUUGCCUAGGCUAAUAGGCCAAGCUCAUAGCAAUUUUCCUUUUUUAUUUUUUAAUUUCGUCGUAGGACUUGGUCUCCACAAGGCACUAUAACGUAUCCCCUAAUUUCAUUUCAUGGAACUUUAAUAAAAUAUCUAUUGCUUUCAAGUGGGAACUGGAGAGCAACGUUGCCUAGCUAACUCACAAUCCUUCUAUAUAAGUUCAAGCUAGGUAUCUUCUUCCUUCCACCACUGCCCACUGCCUUGUAUUAGGAUAUCGUUUCUUAGUUAAUAUAUAGUUGAUUAAUUUCCAUCUCCAACUACUACUAUUAUUAGAAAAAUAUGGCUCUAACUGGCAAGCUAGAGGUUGAAAUGGAGAUCAAUUCACCUGCGGAUAAAUUCUAUAACAUCUUCAGGAGGCAAGCACACCACAUUCCUAAUAUCUGCUCAGAUAAAGUACACCAAAUUGAUGUACAUGAAGGUGACUGGGAGACUCCAGGCUCCGUCAAGAACUGGGGUUAUACUCUUGGUAAGGCAACCACAACUCAAACCCCAAAACCCUAGCACUAUUAGUCUGUAAAAAAAAAUGAUUUUUUUAGUUUUUCUAUUUCAUUUAAUUGUUUUUUUGUUUGGCAUUUUCCCCUUUAGAAUAUUAAUUUAACUGCAUUAAUUCGGAGUUGAUCCCAUCAUGUGGAAGUUUAUGCUUCUGUUAUGAAUACAGCUUUGUAUGCCUUCCUUAUGUUUAAUUCAACCUAAAGCAUGUAGAAUUGAUGGUCAAAGUCUAUGGGACCCUUUUUUCAUGACCGCCAUGCAUGGGGCUUUCCCAGGUGACUGCCCGCUACUAAAGGGGCCUAAAGUUUAGGUCCCCCGAGUUAGAACUUAGAAGAGGGAUUAUGAAUGAUCAGUGAAGUUGUAAGGUUUUGAUCUUCUUAGAUAUUACCUAGAAAGAGGAUUGACUUUACUUGACUUUUACCAUAUUGAUUUAGAGAUUGGCGAUUGCUUUAAAAGGUUGUGUCAACAGAAGAAAACUUAAAAAAUAUUAAGAAAAAUAAAAAAAAUGAUUUUGUUUUUAUAAAAAAAAUCAAAUAUAAUAAAAACGAGUUGAAAUUUUAUUUAUUUUUAAAUUAACUUUUAUAUAGAAGAAUUAAAAUACGUUAAGUAAAUUUGAAUCAAAAUAUAAAAAUAAUUAAUUUCUUAAUUUUAAAUUUAUUAUUUUUCUUUUAACUUCUUUUUUGUUUUUUCAUUUUCUUUUCUUUUGUAUUUUCUUCAAAUUUUUUUAGAACCAAAUAUAGUCAUUAUGAAAAGAUGGGCCACGAAGUGACUACGCAUGUCAAUUUGCUUGAGAUUUCGCAAUCUAGUAGUUUCAAAAUACUAUGCUUAACCCCUUGUUUUGGUUUGAAAUUACUAGGAGGGACUUCUAUGAGCCUUAAAGAGACUGUGGAAUCAGUAGAUGAUGAAAACAAGUCAAUCACUUUCAAGGUUGUGGAUGGAGAGAUCAUGAACCAUUUCAAGUGCUUCAAGUCCAACUUGCAAGUAAAAGCAAAGGAUGAGGGCAGCUUGGUGAAAUGGAGUCUGGAAUAUGAGAAAGUAAAUAAGGAUGUCCCAAAUCCUGAUGCUUACCUGGAGUUCGCAGUUAAUGUUACUAAAGAUAUUGAAAGCCACUACCUCAAGGCAUGACACCAAGGCCAUGUGGUAUCCUCGGUAGUAUUACUUCAAUAACGCUGGUGUUUGUAAUUUGGUUGAGUUGUAUGCUUUACCAGGAGUGGCCUUGUGAUUGGCUGGUUUCUUUUGUAAAGGCAUUAUCAUAUAUGAUGUAAAUACUGUACCUUAAAUAAAAAGAAAAUCAGCAAAGACCCUCCUUUUUAAUGUGGAUAAUUGCUUUUAAUGUCACCUUUGUUGAUCGGUUUACAAGACAAGAGUUAACAAGUAGUCCCUAUUUAUUAAAUAUAAGAAUUUUCUGUAUCCAUUAAUCAUCAUCAGUAAGCUAAUAAAAUGGCUGAUAUUUUUCUUAAUAAAAACAGCAACAGUUACUGAGUUUAUAUAUAGGACACCAGUUGCAGAUUAGAUUUCUUUGGCUUGAUUGUGAUCUUUCUACAUGUUGGAAAAAUAUUGUCAUUUGGUAUUUAAUAUCAAAUUUUAAAAAUAAUAUUUAAGAUAUGAAGAAAAAAACAUACAAUGAUUCAUAUUUUUAACUUUAAUAUGAUUUAAAGUUCAUCGAGUAACCGUUUUGAAAUCAUUCACCCUUGAUCUUCACUUUCCUAGUCUCCCUUUACACGUUCCUUAGUGGUGAGUAUGAAAAUGAUUCCAUUGAAUUGUAAGAAUGGAAAGAGGGAUAAAAAAUUCUUCUAUUUAUAAGCAUAGAAUGAUUCUUCUUAUCAGUGAACCAUUAACUAAAUACUUUAAACAUAUUAUUAAUUAAUAAUAAUAAUAAUAAUAAUUAUUAUUAGAAAAUAAAUUUCAUAAAUAUUAUAAAUUUAAAAAAGAAUCUAAUUUAAUUCUUAAAAAAUUUAUGCAUGAAAUUUUUAUAUUAUUUUUAAUUGUUUUCUAAGGGUUAUUUUAAGAAAUUAUUAUACAAACAUAUAAAAUAAUUAAAAAUAAAACAAUAGAUAUAAAAAUUAUUUUUAAAAAUAUUAAAAAUAAAUUCAAAAUAUUUUAAGUUGCCAAACAAAUUUUUUAUUCUACAAAAAUCAGAGAUAGUUUUCAAAAUCUCUUUUAAAAAACUAUUUUUCAGAAUUAUUUUAAAAAAUAGUUACCAAACAAGCCCUAAAAGAUUUAUAUAUAUAUAUAUAUAUGAAAUUAAAAAAAUAUCAAAUAAUAAAAAUUCAAACAAUGGUAAGGGUGUCACUAAUGAUCGGUUUGGAUUUAAACUAACAUUUUUUUAUAUUGAGUAAUUUAUUUUUUAUUCUAUAUAUUAGAAAAUUGAAUUUAAAUGUAACUUUUUCAAAUAAAAUAGUUAGAUCACACUUGAUAUAUAGUAAUAAUUUUUUAAAAACUAAUGGUCAUAAUUUAAAAAAAUGAUGAAAAAAAAAUCUCAAAUAUAUUGCAUAUGAAUGUAUAUAUUUAGUUUUAUACAACAUGUUAGACAUAUAUUAGUUAUUAACUUAUUAUAAUCUACUAAAAUAUUAAUUCUAUACGAGGGGAUUAGAUUUCUCAUUGUUGAUUUUAUAACCCUCAUUGUGGGAUUAUAAAAUGUCAUUGCAAUCACUCCCAAUUUAGUCUAUGCAAAUCAAAUAUAGAAAUGCAAUUUAUCUCUGUCACAAUUUGUUACACAAUAAUGAUAAUGGAUAAUAAAUAAAUAAAUAAAUAAAAUUAAAGAACACACAUUUAUGUAUAAAACUUUAGAUGAGAAAAAUCAUGGAUAAGGAAAAUGAAUAUCCAAUAUAUCAAAAGAUUGGUAUAAAAGAUGAGAAAUAUAAACAACUAUGAUAAAAAUAUAAUCAUCAUAACCUUAAAAUUAUGUGAAAGUAAUUAACAAAGUAGGUCCAUACAUAAGGACAAAGAGCCCCCUCAAAGGUAUCAAUGGUGGGGGUGUGGGGUGUGGGAUCGGAUCAAAUUCCAACGUUAUCAAUGGUAGGCUAGGGGAUCGGAUCAAAUAGAAUUUGGAUCGCCAAACCUUAAUACAUUUUAUGCUUUUUCUUAUUGGUUUAGAUUUAUGAUAAUCUCCUCCACCAGCAAAAUAAAGUUAUACCGGAGGAUUUUCUUUGUUUUGGCUGUCACACUUUCACUUCUUUGCUAAUAGCCUAACAUCAAAUGAGAAAAUAGAGACAUUUUAAAAAUGAGAACAAAUUCUCGAGGAUUUAGUUGUCUGCCACUAGACUAUAAAAAAUGCUUUCCUGUUAUUUUACCCCCUAAAAUAAGUUUGAUACAAUGCAUCUAUUUUCUGGCUCCGACAAUGUUUAAGAAUACAUCAACCGACCUCAAACCACAUUAUUUCGGUUUGAAAAGAAGGCUUUAUUAUGUCAGUAUGGCUGCUAAGAAGACUUUUGGAAUAUAAUAAAACAAGUCCAGCGAGUUGAUGGUUUGGAAUCGAGAGAUCAUGAAUGAUUUCCCUACUUUAGAGUCAAUAAUUAAGUGGAAUGUGAGAAGGUGAAUGAGGAUGGCCCGGGAUCCAAUGCUUACUAAACUAUUGAAGAUCACCUUCCUGAGGCAUAAUUCCAUUACUUUUCAUCGACGCUGCGAUGCUAUAAAAGAAUAUUAUAAAAAUGCAAGGGUAAUGAAAUAUUGUACAGCCUUUACCGUAUUGAAGAACGUGGACUGAUUGCUAGGGUACCCAACACCCACCAUAAUUCCCACACCAACUCCCAACCAACCCGAUCACGUAGGGCCUCACAUGGCCUCAUUAUCAUUUAUGUGGAAAGAUAAUGCUAAACUAUAUACGGGAUGGCCAUUCUACCAGCCAACCUGUAAUGAUUUUGAUAAAAGUAUACUAAAAAUAGAAGGAGAAAUUAAGUUAUCAUUUGAUAACGGUUUUUAAAAAUUGUUUUUAAUAUUUUAUAAAAUAAAAUUUUAUUUAGAAAUACAAAAUAUUUUUAACUUAUUUUUAAUAUUUUAUAUGUAUAUAUAUAUAUAUAAAGAGAGAGCGCUUUAUUUUUAAUUAUUUUUCAUAUUUAUAUAAUUAUUUUUUAAAACAAUUUCAAAAAAACAAGUGAAAAUAACUAAAAAAAUAUUCUUUGAGAUAAAGAUCAAAAAACAUAAAAUAGUUUUUUUUAUUAUCAAACAUGUUUUAUGUUUUCUAAUCUGUGUUUUUUUAAUUUGUUUUUUGUUUUCAAAUCUUAAGAUCACUUAAUUUUUUAGGGUUUUUUUUAAGAAAUAAUUAUAUAAAUAUAUAAAAUAAUUAAAAAUAAAAUAUUAGACAUAAAAAUUAUUUUUAAAACAUAUUUAAAAAUAUUAAAAACAAGUUUAAAAUAUUUUAAGUUAUAAAAUAAGCUUUUUUUUUUUUACAAGAAUCAUAAAAUAAUUUUUAAAAACUAUUUUAAAAUAUUAUUUUUGAAAAUAAUUAUCAAACCCCUUAUUUUCUAUUCUCAAAAAAUGUUUUUUAAUUAUCAAAUGUGGUGUCUAUUUAAAUUUAAGAUUUUAAAUUUUAAAUUUAGUUAUUUCCAAGUUAUGAUCUCUUGAUAUUAUUUCAACCUAUUAUUUAUUUAUUUGUUUGUUUUUCACAUAAAUAAACUAAAAUUCAAUUGUAUAACCCAGUAUGAAUCACGUGGGCCCUUAGUGAGGCUGGCUACAACUAAAUCAACGUUCUUUUGAUAAUCGAUUGCCUAUGAAAGAAAUCAUCACGCCUUACACACAAUAGAAUAAAUUAAUAAGAAAGUAAGAAGAUUAGAAAGAAAAGCAUCUUAGAGGAAGGGUUUUUUUUUUUUUAACUUCUUGGUGGUGACACUGGAUGGGCUUUUGAUAAUUGUACGACGAAUUUAAAAUUAAUGUUUUAAAAUACGGUAUUAAAAAAUAUUUUCAAAUUUAUGGUACUUUUUACCACUUUGAAACAUGUUUCUUAAAAAAGCAUAUUUCAUCGUUUUUAUAUUAAUGAUACACAUUCAAAAAAAAAAAAAUUAAAGGUGUCUUUUUGAAAUAUAUUUUUCAUAAUUUUUAUAUCAAUAACACACAUUAAAAAAUUUUGAAUUUAUAUUAAAAGUGUCUCUUCAAAAAACACAUUUUAUAAUUCCAUAAAAUUAAAUUUAUAUUAAAAGUGUCUUUUAAAGAUAUACUUUUUACAAUUUUCAUAUCAGUUAUAUAGUGAAAAAAUUGAAUUUAUAUUAAACAUAUUUCUUUAAAAGACAUUUUCUACAAUUUCAUAAAAUUAAAUUUAUAUUAAAGGUAUCUCUUUCAAUAAUUUUUGUAUCAAUCAUCCAUUGAAAUAAUUGAAUUUAUACUAAAAAUAUCUUUUUAAAAGACACCAUCCAUAAUUUCAUAAAAUUAAAUUUAUAUUGAAAUGUUUCUCUUUAUACUUUUAAUAUAAAUUUAAUUUUUUUAUAGGUGAUUAAUAUAAAAAUUAUGAAAAGUAUUUAUUUAAAAAAUAUUUAUUAUAAAUUCAAUUUUAUAGAAUUAUAAAGACGUCUUCAACGUAAAUUCAAUUAUUUUUUCAAUGUGUAAUUGAUAUGAACAUUAUGAAAAAUGUCCUUCAAAAGACACUUUUAGUAUAAAUUUGAUUUUAUGGUAUUAUUAAAAGUAUAUUUCUUUAAUAUAAAUUCAAUUUUUUAACAUGUAUAACUAAUGAAAAAUUAUAAAAAAAUUAUAUUUUGAAGAGAUAUCUUUAAUAUAAAUUCAAUUUUUUAACAUGUAUAACUAAUGAAAAAUUAUAAAAAAAAUUAUAUUUUGAAGAGAUAUCUUUAAUAUAAAUUCAAUUUUAUAGAAUUAUAAAAGAUAUCUAUUGAAAAAAUACUUUUAACAUGUAUCAUUGAUAUGAAAAAUAUAGAAAAUAUCUUUUCAAAAAACACUUUUUAAAAUGGUAAAAAGUACCAUAAAUUUAUCAAAAGUUUUAUAACUAUCAUAGAAAUUUUUUUCAAAAGUUCCAUUUUUUAAUAAUUAUUUUUUUAAAUAGCCGUACAAGUUAUAUAAAAAAAAACCCGAUACUCCAUAAAAUGUGAUCAAGUAGGAUUUGCAUCAUGCAACCUCAUACAAAUAAUAAAAAGCAUAAAUCACUUGAAACUUGAAAGUGAUUGGAAUUUGGCAGACUCUAGCUAGCUAGGUUGCCAUAAAUGACAUGGGUCAGUGGCCGACACCCACCAAACCCAGCACUUAAUAAUAUAAUUAAUAUACUAUUAUUAUAGAACCAUCGUUUUCAGGAUAGGGAGCAUCAAAUUAACCUCCCCAAGUCAAACUGCACAAUUUGUUUCAUCGAAAUCGAAUAUCUAAUAAUGAAUGAUUAUGGGUGAGAUUGCAAUCCGCCAAUCCUUUGCCUAGCUCUUUGAAAAUCAAUGAUGAUGCUUAGUAUUAAUAUUUUAUUUAUCUUUUUAAUAUGAAAAUAAAAAUAUCAAAAUAAUUUUAAACUUUUUUCGUGGAGAUAAUGCUCCCCAGUUAAGCUGCUUAUAAGGUAUAAAUUAAUAAUAACCUUUUAAUUUUAAUAAAAGCAAUUUGAUACAUAUCACAUCUUAAUUCACUUGAGUAAUAACUAUUUAAGAUUGGAUUUAGGUUAACUUAGAUUAAUUAGAUUGUAUUCAGGUUAAUUAAACCAUAAUCAUAUUAUUAUCAACAAUUUCUCACAACUAUCCUAUUUUUAAUAUGAAUUAUUCCUAGUUCUCAAAUUAUUGUUUAGGUAGUUUUAUUAUCUUAAAAAACAUCUUUUUUUGUCAUUGGUUCUGCAUGGUUAUUAAAUAAGAAAAUUAUAAUUAUCUUAUCAACUAAUUUGAAGACUUUUCACAAAUUCAUACUUUAAAAACCUCUUUCUUUGUCGUGGGUCCCUACAUGGUUAUUAAAUAAUAAAAUUGUAAUAAUUUUAUCAAUUAAUUUGAAGACUUUUCACAAAUUUAUACAAUACUAGUUAUCGGAAAUGUGUCACAAAGAAGAUGCCAAGCUAAAAGCAAAUCAUGAUUCAUUAUUUUUUUUCCCAAUUGGAGCUCGAUGACCCAAUCCGAAUGCAUUAACAUCAAAAUUAGUGUUUUAUACUAUUUUCAAUGAACCUUGUCAACAUGAUCGUGAAAUGAUUUAUGAUUAUUUUCAAUAAACCUUUCAUCGAAACUAUGUGUAGAACUGCAUGAAUAAAUAAGAAAUUUUCAUAGUUACAGAUUUGCAUUAUCUCACUCUAUAUGAUUUUAUAUAGUUUUUUUUUUAAUACUUCUGCAACAUUUCUUUAGAAAAAAUAUUGUAUCAAUAAAUUCAGUAAUUUUCAUCAAUUUCAAUCUUAUAAUUAAAUGAUACUUCUGUCAUGUAUAUCACCAUACGUGUCACACUUCAUUCAAGAUCAGGUUGAUUAGUCAUGUAUACCUGCUCCAUUAAUAAAGUAUUAAGUUUUUAUUUUAUUUUAUUAAAAUAAUAAAUAAAUAAUAUAAUUUUUUUUUAUUAGAGGUAGUUAGGUAUCAUUAAAUGAUUUGUUGUCCUGCCAUGUCCCCAAUUAAUAAUUUUAUACUUUUCAUUUUUUUCAAAGGAUUUAAAAUAUAAAAUAUUAAAGAUAAAAUAUCUGAAAGUACCGCUUCCAUACCCAAUCAAAUUUUAAAUCUAAAUUAUUGACAUGUGAGUGAAAUUUGGACUAUUAAAUAAAAAGUGAAAAAAAAAUAAAAUAAUAAAUAAUUAAAAAUGUUCCUGCAAGGAGAUGUGACUAAGGUUAAAAAAGGAGGGGAUAAGGAGCGGCUAGGAAUAUGUAAACAAAAUUCAAAUAAUUAAAAAACGAAAUGAUAACUUCUCAAUGAAAUUGAAUGUUUCAGUUCUAAAAUCCAAAACAAAAACUAUAGUGAAAGAAAAAUUUGAGAAAAUAUAGCAUGGUCUUCUCUUUAAUGAUUGAUAAAUAUUUAUAUAUAAAUAAAGUUUAUUUUCCAUUAUAAUUUAGAUUAGUCGAGUCUUGUUUUCUACUCAAAUUCAAACUUCACAUUUUGUUAUAAUUUAAUCUAAUAAUAAUUGUUUUCACAAGACAAGCUGAAGUUAUCCAUUAAAAUACAACUUUUAAUUAAUAGUUUAAAAAAUAAGAUAAAUUUGAAAAUAAUUUUAAAAUUUAAUAAGUAUAUAUAUUUUUAAAUAGCAUUUUUUUUUUUAAAUUGCCAAAUCUAUGCUCAGAAAAGAUCCACAAAAGUUGAUCAACAAAAGAUACCGAACAGGAAGUAGAUGAUAAUCCAUUAUUUUCUUCUUUAUUAAAGUUUGACAACCCAAUCUGAAUUCAUUAACGUGAAAAGCAGUGUUGUAUGCUCAUUUUCAAUGAACCUUGUCAACAUGCACGUCAAAAACAAUGAUUUAUUAACUACGUACAUGUAGAAUUCCAUGGGAAAAAAAAAAAUACAAUUAAGGCCUUGGGAGAUGAAUAAAAGCUUAACCUAAAAUUCAAAAUUCUCAAAACCAUGUUUUUUCACACCAAAAUGUUUCAUCCAGCCAACCUAAGACCGAUUGAAUCCUCCCUCUAAAGCACAUUGCCCAAGAUUACAGGCAACGUAGUAAUUACCUAAGCAAGUACGUCAGAAUCAUAGCAAUUUUUACCAAAGUGGGUAUCGGGAAGGAGCUUUGCCUAAUUCAUUCUUCGACAAGGUUAUCUACUUCCUCUCGUCACUGCCUUCUGUUUGAAUCAUUUGUAGUUAGUUUUAUCAAUCCAGCUAGUGUUAUUAUCAGAAAAACAUGGCUCUAACUGCUAAAGUGGAGACUGAAACAGAGAUCAAAGCACCUGCUGAUAAGUUCUUUAAACUCUUCAGGAGCCAAGCACACCACCUUCCUAAUAUCUGCUCCGAUAAAAUACACAAAAUCGAGGUACAUGAAGGUGACUGGGAGACUCAGGGCUCCGUCAAGCAUUGGAGUUACACCAUUGGUAUGACAUGCAACUCAAACUAAGAACCCCAAAACACUAGCGUUAUAUUCUGUUAAUUAAAAUAAUUUUUGAUGUUUUUGUUUCAUUUCAUUGUUGUUUUCUUCUCCUUUCAAUUAUUCUUUUAGAAUAAUAAACGCAUGCGUCUUUGUACAUUUUUUUUCUUGCAAAUAAGUGAUCGGGUCUGGGCCGCUAGUGACUAUGAUGGUUCUUAGUAAUGUACAUGACAUCUAAUAAUAGCUUCAACAUAUUCCAAUUAUGUUUAACCUCACAUUUUGGUUUUAACUAGGUGGGAAUUCUCAGAGUAUUAAAGAGACUGUGGAAUCAAUAGAUGAAGAAAACAGGUCCAUCACGUUCAAGGUUUUGGAUGGGGAGGUGCUGAAAGAAUACAAGAGCUACAAGUUCACCGCACAAGCGAUACCAAAGGGGGAGGGCAGCUUGGUGAUAUGGACCAUCGAAUAUGAGAAGGCAAGUGAGGGUGGCCCAGAUCCCCAUAACUACCUAGAGUUUGCAGUUAAUAUCACCAAAGAUAUCGAAAGUCACCUUCUCAAUGCAUAACACCAAGGUCAUAUCUAC
rnacentral:lncRNA from 1 species